UCUCGUCGUUUUGGUAUAUUAUAUGUUGAAUUUUGAGUCCAGAAACAUAUAGAAAAGUCCGUUUGAUUAUUUGGUUGUGUUCUUCGUUGUUCUUGAAUGUUCUUAAUCAGAAUUUGGGGGAUUUUGUUCGGGGGAUUCUUGAUGAAAUUGGAAGAUGCAGGCAUGUUCUUGAGGUCAUAAGGAGUUGUUUCAUGUGUUUAAAUCGUGUGUGGGAGGCUGGGAAGAACCUCGUCGGAGUUUCGAAGGAAACUCGACGGCGGCUUGAAUUUUCAAGCUUUUUCCGGCCAAUCCUUGCGUGAUCUGUUGAAUAUGAGGGCAUGGUGAUGUUCCUAGUAGUGUAAAGAAGUUAUUUGGAGGUUUUGGUGUUGAACGGAGGUUUGCAGCGCCGUUUCCGGCGAAACCAGCGGUGGCCGGCGGCAAAUUGCCGUUUGGUCACCGAACUCGUGAAGGUGGUGAAGUUACGAUACCCAGGUUUCAAAACUGACAAAACAGCCCCUGUAACUUCUGAAAGUUACAGUUUAAACCUUGG
rnacentral:lncRNA from 1 species